UCCAGUGUGUUUCAUGGCUGAGAUAGUGCAGCGACAGGCAGGCAGCUGCGAAUCACAUUUCACUUUAGCUGAACUUCUCAAAUCUAUUUGAGCUAUGGCAGAGGGAACACAGUGAGUCUGUCCGGUCUACUAAUAGUCCGGCCCCGCCGCGGAUGUGGCAAGCGAGGACAUGCUGGUAGCCUAUUCUUUAUGAUUAUUUCUUAAAGAGCCGGCGAACGCAACACAGCUCCGUUUGCUAUGGAUGCUUCUUUGGCCGAAGAUUAUAUAGGCCUACUUUGCUACACUGUUACAAUGUAUCGACUUAGAGCAUGGAUCACUACGUAGCUUAGUAGUCUUUUCUCACACUCGCAUCAUUGUUGCCGCUGUGCAGCGAGGACACGAUAGUUACGGGGGGAGACAGACGAAACACAGCGUGACUGUCGCUCAGGACUUGAACUUGAACUUCAUUUUGAAAACGGCGUCCAUGUGUGAUCGACGUUAAGUCUUCUUUUUUUCCCAUAAGCAAUAUCCAUUAUCUGUGAUUCAUUGACAAACUACGAGGAGAAAUGAGGAAAAUACAGAUGUUUUGAAGACAAUAAACUAAACUGCUGGCUGCUCCACCUCGGACAUUGAAGAAGUGGACAUUUCAUAUCAACAGAAAGUAAAAGAAUUGAAGAAUGCAUGUUAUAGAUGUUGUUAUAACAGGAUAACUACAUUAUGGUUCUGGAUCUACUACCCUGGUGGAAAAUAAGGCCUGUCUGGAUUUCAACAUCCUGGAUUUCGCAUCCAUAGUUGUUGUGUGCUGCUGACUGUCUAUGUCCGAUUUGAGGUUGAUUGGAUCCGGGGGGCAAUGUAUAGAGACGGAACAGACCCCGGAUUAAAAGGUGGACUCCAAUCAAGUUGGAAAAACAUCUCAAGGAUGACCAAUGGAAACAAGUCUCAUAGCAAAAUAUCUGAAUACGGCCUACAAAAAGGCAAAAGACCUCCUGCGGGGACUGGGGCUGGGAUUAAUUUUUUUAAUUUUUUAAAAGUUAAUAAUAUAUAAAUAUAGGACAAAACAUACAUCACGACAAGAGAGGCAACACAACACUACAUAAGAACAGGCCUAAGACAACAACAUAGUAAGGCAGCAACACAUGGCAACUCAGCAUGGUAGCAACACACCAUGGUGGCAGCACAAAACCUGGUACAAACAUUAUUGGGCUCCAAAAAAAUUGAAAUUACAUGAUUUUAUACUAAUACAAUUUCUCAAAUAAAUAACAAGUGUUUAACAAGUGUUGAAUUCGGGGUAAAAGGGGUGUUGGAUAUGGGAACAUUUCAGUUAAACUGAGUAUACAGAAGGAUGGAAAUGUUUUGAAAAUGUAUUUAAAUGUUUCCUGAAGGACAGGGAAAGAAAAUGGAGAGGAAACAUUUUAAUGGGGACGUAUGCCCUGUAUACUGACUUUUUCUCGUGAGGCCUGAUCAAUCUCAGUAGAAAUUAUCGGAACAGGGGGGGGUUUAAUUAUAAAAUGAAUGAGAAACACCAGUCUCUAGUCAAAUUGUGCCAUUACUUUAAGAGCUUAUUAUUAUUUGCGUAGGGAGUUAUAAAGAGUUGUAAUUCUAAGUUGAUUAGUUAUUCGAAUUUGUUUAUUUUUGAUUUAACAUUGUUGUUUUUGAAUCACGUGUUCGACGGGGUAAAUGACCCGUUUCCUGACUUCCUGGUCUUUGUGUAAAUAUACAGAAGUACUGUGUUUAGUCUGCAAAUAGAAGGGAAAAUAUAUGUUAAUAAGGGAUGACAGUUAUUUCAAAUGGAUUGUGAUGUGUAUUGCUGAUUUGAUUUGAUGUUUUAGUUUCGAUACAAAAUUCACCAGAUUGGGAUACUGGAGUGUGAGAUUCUGCGAGGGGUUAGGGUGCUAACUUCAUGAUCUGGUAACUCUUCCAAGAGUUUGCCAGUUGAAUAAGGGAGUAUGGAUCCAUUUUGAAAAUGGUUUCAACAGUAACAGUAUGUUGGUAUGCUCUUUGACAUUUGUCGUAGAGAUAACGUUAUUAAGAAAAGGUUCAUGUAGUAAUUCAUCAUAUAAUCAAUACUUGUCUGGAUUUCCUGAAACAGAAAUGAAUUGAGCUAAACUGUUGUUGUGAUCUGUGCUUUUUUGAGGUUAUCAUGGAAGGUGACGUCAGAUCGUGUCUUCAUGCAUGGCAGGAAUGAUUUGACCACAGACAGUAUAUGUGAAUCUCAAAACCCUCCCUAAGUGUAUGGUCUAACAGGGAUGAUGUGUGCUAAAUUGAUGAACUGGAAUUCGAAUCCUGGACUCAACGUAAGCACUAAGGACUGUCAUUCUAAAUUUGGGUUGGAUAAUUUAUAAAAUGUUUUAGUUAUGAUUUGGAUAUAGCGAGAGAGAGUUGCUACAGAAUGGUGAGGGGUGGGGGUGCUGCUAACAUUUAUUUGGCCGAGAGAGUCUCCAGAAACCUUAUCUCUAAGUGUCAUCCUAAAGGGAGGUGGUUUGUUAGGGUAAUCACUGGAUGAUAGCAUGGGACAACCAUGAAAGUUUUUUGUUCUCUUUUGUUUUACCAUGUACUCAGAAUGUGUAUGUUAAAUCGCAUCAGUAGGUGAUGCUAAGUUAUUAAACAUGUACUAUUUCUCUUUCUUUUUCAAGUCAAUAUGUUUUUAGGUUUCGUGGAACAUAAGAGUGUUCAUUGUUCCAGAGGAGGGACUGAUGUAUAUUGACUAAUUGAUUUGAGAAUGUUUUAGUAUGUUUAUAACUGUGGAAAAGCAUUAGGAGUAGUGACUGGUUUGUUAUGGGUUAGGUGUAAUGAUAGAGGAGUAUCAUUCCCAGAGACUGUAUAUUGUUAUAGGAGAUAGCUCUUAGGAGAGAGAGGACAGCUAAAAGCUAACUGUAUACAAUAUGGGGAUUUAACUGAACAUUACACAUACCCAAAUCAUGGUGAGAGUAGAAGAGAUAGUGAUGGCAUUUCAGACACUAUGGUAAACUUGCAGGAAACCUGUGACUCAGAGUUUUGUUAGGUUGUAAUUUUUUCCCAAAUCAUUCAUCUUUUUCCAAAUUUUUAACAGCAAAUUUCUAACAUUUGACAGAUUACAUGUAGGAGUUAUUCUCACGGCAAUCACGGUAGGGACAGUAACUGAAGGAGCAGUAUUACUAGCGAAGUAUGCUAUAUUGGAAUUGGAUUACUGAGCAAGUGUGGGCUAUUGUGAGACUAUGGUCAUGGGCCAUGUUAGUAGUAGCAGGGGUUACUUUAGUAGCAUUGCUGAGAAGGGUCAGGCAAGCGGGUACAGAGUCCAGAAACAGACAAGGGUCAAAACCGGGAGGACUACAAAAAGGAGAAUAGCAAAAAGUAGGAGAACGGGAAAACUUGGUUGACUUGGAAAACAUACAAGACGAACUGGCACAGAGGGACAGGAUGGGCGGACAGGUGUGGGCAGCUUGGUUGAAGAGCAUGCAUUUAGUUUUACUUGCAUUUAAGAGCAGUUGGAGGCCAGGGAAUGAGAGUUGUAUGGUAUUGAAGCUGGAGGUUAGUUAACACAGUGUCCAAAGAAGGGCCAGAAGUAUACAGAAUGGUGUCGUCUGCGUAGAGGUGGACCAGAGAAUCACCAGCAGCAAGAGCGACAUCAUUGAUGUCAUUCCAUAUAAAGGAGUGAGAAGUUAAUGGUUCUCUGUAGAAAGACAUAGUGGCAGUGGAAUGUGCUGAGUGGAUGGGAGGGAGUCAUGGGAGUGCCAUAGGUGAUAUGAGAGGACAUCUGUGGAUUAGGUGAAGGAGGAGUUGAGGUCAGAAGGUCAGGAGGUCAGGAGGUCAGGUCAGAUCACCUGAAGGGAGAAAUAAUGGUUUAUUAUCCUGUUACCCUCUUCCUGUCAAACCAUAAGAUGUAAGGAUAGGAGAGAAGGAGGGGUGCCGUAUAUAUUUUUAUUUAUUUAUUUCACCUUUAUUUAACCAGGUAGUCAAGUUGAGAAAAAGUUAUCAUUUAUAAUUGCGACCUGGUUAUAUACUCUA